CACAUAUAACUUCAUUCAUGAUCUUUUCUUUUGAAAUCCUUCUCUUUUUCGGGUACCCUUGAAGUGUGGUACUUGACUGAUAGCAAUAGGCUUUGGUUUUCGGAACCUGUUCAUCAUAUUUGGCCAAUAGAUAAUACGGGGUUUCCAUACCGGCCUUUCGACCUCAGGUAUUAGCCGUAUUUUAUUUCAUUAAUUGUGGGUUUUCCAUACUGGUCUUUCGACCUCAGGUAUUUGCCACCAUGUGUUGGGUCCGCCGGUCCCUCCCGCGUCCCUUGCCUACCCGACCAUCAAUAUAGUACCAUACUCCCAUUUUCGAAAACAUAUGCUUUCAUAUCCCUAUGACUCAUCAAUCGUUCAAACAUCGUGAAGAACAGGUAGGAAAAGUCACAUUAAACCACACAUAAUUAGGUUCUUAUGAUGAGCAAAUGAAUGCUUCAACUUACCUCAAGUUCAAUAUGGUGUAUGAAGUGAAUAGAUCAGUCUCAUAUAGGUUGUGCUAGAGUCCUUGAUUAGAGAUGAAUUCAAACAUCAAAACUUAGGAUUUUCAGCUAGAAAAGGUGCAUAACUUGUUCUAGCUCUACUUCUAGGAGUUCUUGUAGUUUGAUGUUCUCUUAUGCGAGUACGGAAGUUAAGAAAUAUGAAGAGUAGCUUAAGUAAAUUGGUCUGGUUGUUUUUGGAAGAAGACAAGUGAAAAUGAAGAUAAAAACACAAAGUCUUCACUUAUCUACCCAUUCCCAACAAGGCCAAAUGGAGGAUGAUGAUUGGAAGGCUUGCUUUUGCUGGAUUCAUGUGGUUCCUCCAGGUUUUUCUAGCUUGAGAUAAGAUAUGGGCUGAUGCUUACUCAUUAUAAUCAAGUGUAAACAAUUUGAGAAUGGUCUUGUGCAACCUAGUCAACCAACCAAUCAAAUUGCACCCUUUUGCAUACUUUUGGUUUUAGUCUAAUAUGAGUUACUCAAGUAAUUAUAUAUGUAAUUAAUCAUAUUAAAAUGUAAUUAAAAUGCUGAAAUGCAUCUAAGACAAAUAUAUCACCGUUUAGCAUAUUGAUCCCUUCUUAACCGAGAAACUUAACUUCUCACUACAAUAAAUCAUUUAAGUUAAUGUUAAAUCAUAAAGUAGAUGUUAAAUAACAUGUAUCAUGUAUUAUCACAGUUUAAGAAAAGUAUUCGAUCACGUAUUAAAACACAAUUAAGGCAAAUGUGUAGCAAGUAGUCGUGAUCAUGCAUCAUGAAUAAUGAAUUAUAACUAUAUGCAUUGAUGCAAUAUGCUUAUUAUUGGCCAUGUAUGGAUGGUUGGGCAUUACAAUUCUUCCCUCCUUAUAAAAUUUCGCCCUCGAAAUUUGACGUACCGAACAAUUUUGGAUAUUUUCUAUGCAACAUAUAAAUCAAAUGUUAGAGUAGGUGACCAACAAGCCAACUUGUGGUUGUGGUCUUUCUCUUUUCCUUGUAAUCACGAUUCUACUAGAUCAACUCACAGUAAUAGAGUAACUCGUUAGGACUAUAUCUAUGCUGCUUGCAUGGGAUAACAGAUAUAGAAUGCCAAAUAAGAUAUUUUAUUAUUACGAACGAAAAACGAUUGUUUUAUUACAAGAUAAAAGGAAAGACCACAGCCACAAGUUGGCUUGCUGGUCACCUACUCUAACAAUCUCCCACUUGACCUAAAGCCAACUACUCAUAAAUCUAAGUCCCAUCGACUCUCGAUGUUUCUCGUGGACUGAUCCUGACAAUGGCUUGGUGAAGGGAUCUGCAAUAUUGUCCUCCGAGGUGACUCUGUCUAGCUUGACUUCACCUCUCUCUAUGAUCUCUCGGAUCACAUGGUAUUUUCUCAACACGUGCUUCGACUUCUGAUGAGCUCUUGGUUCCUUAGCUUGCGCUACGGCUCCGUUGUUAUCGCAGUACAGCCGUACUGGAUCGCUAGCGUUCGGAAAUACACCCAACUCUUGGAUGAAUUUCCUAAUCCAUGACCCUUCCUUUGAAGCAUCUGAUGCUGCAAUAUAUUCAGCCUCGGUGGUGGAAUCAGCCGUUGUGCCUUGCUUGGAACUCUUCCAACACACGGCACCUCCGUUGACUUUGAAUAUAUACCCCGAGUUUGACUUUGAGUCAUCCACGUCCGAUUGAAAACUAGAAUCCGUGAAGCCUUCUAAUUUCAACUCGGUAUCCCCAUAGACCAAAAACAAAUCUCGAGUUCUUCGCAAGUACUUGAGAAUGUCCUUCACAGCCUUCCAAUGGGCUGGGCCGGGGUCGGACUGAUAUCUGCUUGUGAUGCUCACAGCAUACGCAAUAUCAGGUCGUGUACAUAGCAUGCCAUACAUUAUGCUUCCUAUAGCGGAUGCAUAAGGUGUCCUUUUCAUCUCCUCGAUUUCCAUUUGCGUUUGAGGACGCAUGGAUUUCGAGAGACGAACCCCAUGGGACAUUGGCAAGAAUCCCUUCUUGGAUUCUUCCAUGCUAAACCGUUUAAGAACGGUGUCUAUGUACAUGGAUUGGGACAAGCCAAGCAAUCUCCUCGAACUAUCUCUAUAGAUCCGUAUUCCCAAUACGUAGGAUGCUUCUCCCAAAUCCUUCAUCGAGAAACGUGUGGAUAACCAUACUUUAGUCGACUGCAACAUCCCUACAUCAUUCCCAAUGAGUAGUAUGUCAUCAACAUAAAGUACAAGGAAAGUCACUGCACUCCCACUAACCUUCUUGUAGACACAAGGUUCCUCCGGGUUUUUCACAAAUUCAAACUCUUUGAUAGUUGUGUCGAACCUUUUGUUCCAACUACGGGAUGCUUGUUUCAAUCCAUAAAUGGAUCGCUGGAGUUUGCAAACCUUUUGCUCAUCUCCAGAAGAUAUGAAGCCUUCCGGCUGCGCCAUGUAAAUUUCUUCCUCAAUGUCCCCAUUAAGGAAAGCGGUCUUCACAUCCAUUUGCCAUAUCUCGUAGUCAUACCACGCAGAGAUGGCCAGCAAAAUCCUAAUGGACUUAAGCAUAGCAACUGGAGAGAAGGUUUCCUCAUAGUCAACUCCUUGCUUUUGAGUAUAACCCUUCGCUACCAAUCUAGCCUUGUAGGUCGAUACCUUUCCAUCUACUCCAAUUUUCUUCUUAUAGAUCCACUUGCAGCCUAUGGGAACAAUUCCCUCAGGUGGAUCUACCAAGGUCCAUACCUUGUUGGAGUACAUAGAGUCCACUUCGGAUUUCAUGGCAUUUAGCCAAUGUCCCUUGUCUGUAUCCGAUACAGCUUCGUUGAAAGUUCUAGGAUCACAUCCUUGGUCAACUUCAUCAACGAGGAAUAACCUAUCGGGCGCUCUCCGAACUCUUUCGGAUCUACGCAGCGACGGUUCAGGAGGUAUAUUAGUGGUUUGUUGAAUUGGUUCAUUAUCUGAUUGUUGUGCUUGAACUUCAGAUUGUGGUUCUCGAACUUCUUCGAGAUCAACUACACUGCCCUUUCUAUCCGAUAGAAAUUCCUUCUCAAGGAACACGGCAUUUCUCGAGACGAACACCUUUGCCUCGGAAACAUAGUAGAAUUCGUAUCCCAUAGAAUCAUCGGGAUACCCCACAAAAUAGCAUAGGUCGGAUUUUGUAUCCAACUUAUCUCCCACUAGCCGCUUCACGUAAGUGGGACAACCCCAUAUCCUAAUAUGUUUAAACGUGGGUUUCUUGGAGUGCCAAAGUUCAUAAGGUGUGGAAUCAACUGCUUUGGUAUUAACCCUAUUCAGCAAGUACACGGCAGUUAGGAGUGCAUGACCCCACAGGUAUGCCGGUAGCUCGGUGAACCCCAUCAUAGAUCAAACCAUGUCUAACAGUGUUCGAUUCCGACGUUCGGAAACUCCAUUGAGUUGAGGAGUUCCAGGAGGAGUCCAUUGAGACAGAAUCCCAUUCUCUUUAAGAUAGUCUAUAAACUCAGUACUUAAGUAUUCGCCACCACGAUCGGAUCGUAGUUUCUUAAUACGUCUACCGAGUUGGUUUUCUACUUGGUGUCUAAAAUCUUUGAACUUUUCAAAAGUUUCAGACUUAUACUUCAUUAAGUAUACGAAACCAUACCUAGAAUAAUCAUCGGUAAAGGUAACGAAGUAGUUAAAACCACCCCUAGCACUAACACUUAGUGGACCACACACGUCUGAAUGGAUCAAAUCCAAAAGACCCUCGGCUCGUUCCAUCUUCCCUUUGAAGGGAGUCUUGGUCAUUUUUCCUUUAAGGCAGGAUACACAAGUUUGAAGUGAUUUAACGUCCUCCAAGGAGAACAUUCCUUCACUAACAAACUUGUUCAUCCUUCUCAAGGAAAUGUGACCUAGUCGAGCGUGCCAAAGUUGUGCGGGGUUAAGACUUAUAUCUUUUCAUUUUGCUGAUAUAACGUUAAUAGGUAUUUCACUUGGAUUCAGUUCAUAUAAGUUGUUUAUAAGUUGUCCCUUACAAAUCACAUUUUGAUCCUUUUGUAUAAUGCAAAUCGAAUUUCCAAAAACAAAAGUAAAACCUUCAUUAUCCAAAACAGGAAUAGAAAUAAGGUUUCGAAUAAGUGACGGAACAAAUAAACAAUUGUUCAAAACAAUGGAAAAACUAGAAUCCAAAACAGAAAGAUAAAUUGUCCCAAUGGCUUCAGCAGCAACCCUUGCUCCGUUGCCCAUUCUUAGGUAGGUCUCACCCACAUUAAGCUUCCUACUUCUUGUCAUGAGCUGCAAAUCAUUACAAAGAUGUGAGCCACAACCGGUAUCCAAUACCCAAGCAGAAGAUUUAACGGACAAAUUAACUUCAACUAAAUACGUACCCUUUUCAGAACGUUUCUGAUCGAGGUAAGCCUUGCAGUUGCGUCGCCAAUGGCCCUUCUUUCCACAAUGAUGGCAAGCGUCAUCAACUUGCUUGAUGACCUUGUCAUUCUUCACUCUGCUCGACUCGCCCUUCUCAAAUUUCUUGCUCGGGCCGAAACUUCUUUCUUUCCUUUUCUUCUGCAAAGAACCUUUCUUCGCAGAAGGAGCAACUAGGAGAACAGAUUUCUCCUUCUUGAUCGUGGACUCAUAGCUGACCAACAUGUUCAACAACUCAUCCAAUGGUGGAUCGAGCUUGUUCAUGUUGAAGUUCACUAUGAACGAUUCAUAAGAACUAGGAGGGGAAAGUAGGAUCAAAUCCACCGAGAGCUCGGCCGGGAGGGUGACAUCAAGGCUUACCUGCUUCUCAAGGAGAGUGAUCAUCUUGAGACCGUGCUCGUGGACCGAAGCCCCUUCACGCAGCCUCAUGGUGAUGAACUCCUUGGUAGCUGAGUACCUCGAUGCCCUAGUAUUCUCACUGUACAUGCUUUCAAGAUGGUGCUUGAUAUCAUAAGCAUGCACGUGAGACUCAUACAUCCUCGCGAGCUCUGGCACCAUGGAUGCUAGCAUGUAGCACCUCGCAUGGAGGUCGUCCUUCAUCCAUGCCUCGAAAGUGGCAGUCUCGUCAGCAGUAGCAGUCGCAGGAAGAGCAGCGGGGGGACGUUCAUUGAGCACAUAGAGACGCUCCUCGACUUGGAGCACAAGUUUCAGAUUGCGAAGCCUAUCCAAAUAGUUUGGACCGGUGAGUUUGUUUUGGUCGAGGAUUGAGGAAAGGGGAUGUUUGGACAUUGUUGCUGAGAAAAUUUUAAGAAGACAAUAAUUAGAAUUUAGUUCGUAAUAAUCGUUACAAUUAAAAUUUUGGACUUUUAUAUUUUAAUUGUUCUCCCACUAAUUUUAUCGAAUUCCACCACCCUCUAGCAGACAAUCGAGAAAACUUAUUUUUCUUUAAUGGGCUUUAGGUCCAAUAGCGCUAAUGUAACCCGUAGUUAAUCUAUCCCGAUUACAUAAGCCUAAAGGUAGAGUACUAUCAAUCACAUCACUAUGUGACCCUAAAGAUCGAUUUACCUCACACUUGAUAAUGACCUAAGUUAAUCUAGCGAAUAUCAAAAUCUUCGUGUGUCAAGUCUAGCCUACCAAUAUGAGAUGUCAUGGAUCCAACUAUAUCAAACUAAUGCAAUCCCUAGUUAAUCUAGCCGACCACAUUAAUCCAACAUAAUUUUAUCUAUGACCGUAUCUCCAUCUAAUGUCAAUUAAAUUACAGCUUAUCCCACAAUAGCACUCCCCGCUAACACGGCUUACUGCACUAUUAUGAGAGGCUACACAUAAUUUAAUUGUUGGUAGAAGGAAAGAAAAAUUCAACAAUUUGGUUUUUCUUUAUAGCUUGAUAAUUAUUCUUGAUUAAGAAUGAGGGAUUUUGUUUUUAAAUCUUAUUAGCUCAUCGGAAGUUUUAGGUUAUGAUCGUUUGUGAUUCCUACAACUAUGUUCUCUAGGUAUGUGGAAACGCAUAUUGAUCCUAAGAGAGACAUACGAUCAUCAUCGUACUUAAUCACAAUUAUUCAUCUCAUGAAUUAAUUAAUAAAUAAGAUUAAUUGCAAAUAUAAUUAACGGACUCCUUUCAUUCAUAAAUCAAUCAAAUAAGAAUGAAGUCCAUUAAUUAUUUGCCAUCUAAUUUGUGUUCCAUUAAUUAAAUUAAUUUAACGAUUAAAUUAAAUAAUUAAUCCAACACUAUUCUUUGAAUUCAAAUUAAAUUAAUGGAUCAAUUAUCUAAUUGGGUUUAAUUGAUAAAUAAUUUCAAAAAUUAAAAAUCAAUUAAUUUUAAUAUUAAUCUCAGAAAAUCAAAUAAAUAAUUUUUUUUUUUUUUUUUUUUUUGUUGUGCUGACCGGACCGGUCGGACCGGUUCGACCGGGCCUGUUCGGUCAGCUGAAAAACAGCAGCAAAAAUCGAAUUUUUUCAAAAUUAAAAAUUUUAUAUUUUCUGAAAUAUUCAAAAUAUUAAUUAAUAUUAAACCACCCAAUUUGAUAACACCAAAAAUUCAACAAUUCAACAAAUCGAAGCAUGCUUUCGAAAGCGAUAAACACGUUGACAAAUAAACGAUUAACCCAUGGCUCUGAUACCACUGUUGGGGAUCGUGCAUGUAUACGCAGCGGAAUUUAAAAUUUUUAGAUCGAACUAAUUUCGAUUACAUGCAUAAACUAAUCACAUAGUGUAUGUGUACUGCGUCUCAUCAGUCCUCGGUGUUGUGACAUCGGCAUACUUGAGUGGGUGCUCAUACUGGAUGAGUUCACUGAACUCCCUCGCCCUAGAAAUCUAUAAGUGGUUCUCAUUCAUCGAGUAAUAGGUUUCUAAGAUAUAGUUGUACACCAUUAGUCCUUAAGACCCAGACAUCACCGUGACUUCACUAGAGGACCGAUUGUAUCGUGACCUGUCCCUAAGUCCCACCGCGGACCGCUCCAAGGGCCAACGUUCGUGCAAUCCGAAAUCUAGUGUGAAGUCUGUGCAUUGUAGUAGGGGAUUCGAGCGCUUGAGUAGUCAUGGAUGUCCUGUGUGUUCUGACGGUUUAUAAUCCAUGGAAUCUCUGGCCAGAGUUGAUAGUGGGGUGAUUAGGGAAAUGUGUUUCCCUAAGUCGCACACGAACGGAUUUAUAAUACCUAGAACGUUCGCACGGUUAUUGAACUUUAUAAGAGGUCUCGGUGAACCAAUGCCUCUAGUUCAAUCGGGACAUGUGCUACGAAAGGAUCGUACUGUACGCUAACUAUAUCAUAAGGUUCUUGCAGGCACUUCAUUUGUAUCUAGGGAAUCAUGAUGCGUAGUUGCUAGACGCCAAUCUUGAUUCGUUGGGCACCGAUUUGAUCGGGAUUAGGUAAAAUGAGUUUUACUCUAAUCAGGAAUCUUGGGAGGAGUUCAUAUAAGAACAAUGUGUUGUUCGAAUCACAAAGAGUUGUGAGCCCACGGCUAGCAUACACCUGAACCAUUGAGGGUCACACUUCUCGUGUAACAUGGAUCCUUGAUAACAAUGAGCAUAGAUUAAUAUGUUAAUCUUUGCAAAGUUGGAGGUCAAUAUGAUUGAGUCCAAGAUUCGUGAUUGUGGAUUACGAGUCGGAAUAAACGUAGAGAAAGAGAUAUGCGGAAAUUAGUGAACUUUCUAAAUUGAGAAGUUUCCCAAUGUUGCUGGUCCACUGAAGUGGAAGAUUCCAAUUUUGGAAAUUGGAAAUUUCGAAGAGGCACUCGUAUCGACGAGGACUUUGAGCUCGUCACAAAUAUAAUUUUGUUAUAAUUUUGUGGACGAUCGUUUAUUAGAAACGAGGCCGACGAGGGAAUGGGCUUAAUGCAUCAGUGGGUCAAGCCCAAUGACUUAAGCCCACUAGGGUUUAAAACCCUAAGUAUAAAUAGACCUCAAAAGUAGUUUUGAGAUCAGAUUUUCAAGCACCAAAACCCUAGCCGCUCAGCCCCCCCUCUCGGCCGUUGCAUCUCCGCCGCGCCACCGCCAUCCGCCGCCGGAAUCCGCCGGUUUUUCCCUCUCCUUUCUCUAUCGUAUUCCCUUGUUAUCUAACCCCUUUGUAUCUAGUGCUACAGUAGGGGGAGAUCUGUUUAUUCGAGGUGAAACCUAAUUGGAGAGGAGCUGCUGCCCCGACGGAAUCGCCGCACCGCCGCUGCACCGCCGCACGCGCCGCUGCACCGCCCACGCGCCGCCGCCGUCGUCACGCACGCGCCGCCGUCGCCACACCUUCGGUCCAGCUGCCGUUUGGUGGUGUUCCUGCAGCCCCUAGGAGUGGUAUAUAGCAGCUUGUACGUGACUCGUUCUAGGAUUUCGAUUCGUCGAAAUCGCACGCUACAAGAGGUAAAUGAAUCGAAACUUUCGUAAAUUAAUUCGAGCAUGUUUUGUGUGAAUUAUAAUUUAUGAGCAUGAGUAAUACGUGAUUACAUGUUUCGAUUUUGUGUAAUGAAGUAUAAGCAUGUUUCGUGAUUUUCGGUUUUACGUAUUUUUCAAUUAAAUCGAAAAUUACCAUAUGUAUGGCGGAAGCGUUAAGGUACGUUGACUAUGUGAUUAGUUUAUGCAUGUAAUCGAAAUUAGUUCGAUCUAAAAUUAUUAAAUUCCGCUGCGUAUACAUGCACGAUCCCCAACAUCAAACACGUAGGUAAAUAAGAAAAGAGUUAACCAAGCUUCCCAGCCAAAGUAUGUUCAUAUGCCUUCUUCUGUCUCCAGAAAAGAUUUUAAACCUCCGCUCUGAUACCAAAAAUGUAACGGCCCACAACCUAACAACAGAAUCCAAUCGGAUCACCACCAUUAAGUUAGGGAUGCUAAUGUUUUUAUAUAUAAUUAAACAUUAUGGUUUUAAUACAAAAAUACGUUAUAUUCUUUGAAAAGAAAUCAAACUUUGUACUUUCUCAAAACUGUACAUAUAUAUAUAUAUAUAUAUAUAUAUAUAUAUAUAUAUAUAUAUAUAUAUAUAUAUAACGGCUAAUAAAAUGAAAUCAGAGUUUUUAGCUCGGCGACAAAAAUGGCUCGAAGCAUGGCAUAUGAACAAAUCUAUGACUGGCCGCUCUUGGCUAGGUCAACUUCUAAACAUGUACAUCAUUACGUGCAUCAUAAGAACCUAAUUGGCUAACAGCUGAGCAAGUUGAAACUGAUGUAAUAGCAAUAUAUCACAUAACACGUUAUUCUCUCAACAUACACAAUAUCACAUAUAACUUCAUUCAUGAUCUUUUCUUUUGAAAUCCUUCUCUUUUUCUAGAACCCUUGAAGUGUGGUACUUGACUGAUAGCAAUAGGCUUUGGUUUUCGGAACCUGUUCAUCAUAUUUGGCCAAUAGAUAAUACGGGGUUUCCAUACCAGCCUUUCGACCUCAGGUAUUAGCCGUAUUUUAUUUCAUUAAUUGUGGGUUUUCCAUACUGGUCUUUCGACCUCAGGUAUUUGCCACCAUGUGUUGGGUCCGCCGGUCCCUCCCGCGUCCCUUGCCUACUCGACCAUCAAUCAAGUACCAUACUCCCAUUUUUUAAAACAUAUUCUUUCAUAUCCCUAUGACUCGUCAAUCAUUCAAACAUCGUGAAGAACACGUAGCAAAAGUCACAUUAAAGCACACAUAAUUAGGUUCUUAUGAUGAGCAAAUGAAUGCUUCAACUUACCUCAAGUUCAAUAUGGUGUAUGAAGUGAAAAGAUCAGUCUCAUAUAGGUUGUGCUAGAGUCCUUGUUUAGAGAUGAAUUCAAACUUCAAAA
rnacentral:lncRNA from 1 species